UUCAUUUUGCUUCAAUUCAUUUACCAAGAUUUUAAAUUUCACAUUAAGCACUGUAAGGCUUGGCUAGUACUGAGGUGGGAGACCGCUCGGGAACACCAGGUGAUGAGU
rnacentral:rRNA from 1 species